UACAUAACAUUUAAAGUCUACAAAAAGCUACUUAAGAAGUCUUAACCAUUCAUUCUGUAUUGAUCAAAACUUAUAUUAAAAGAAUAUUUUUUAAAGGACAUCAGUUAAUUACUACAUAGUAUGUUUUAUACAAAUACAUGUACUUAUUGUACUAUAUGUGUGUUGAUAUGUAUUUAUAGAUCUGAUUACAAGCAUUUAUCCCUGU
rnacentral:misc_RNA from 1 species